UACGUAGGGUCCGAGCGUUGUCCGGAAUUAUUGGGCGUAAAGGGCUCGUAGGCGGUUUGUCGCGUCGGGCGUGAAAACUCAGGGCUCAACCCUGAGCGUGCUUCCGAUACGGGCAGACUAGAGGUAUUCAGGGGAGAACGGAAUUCCUGGUGUAGCGGUGGAAUGCGCAGAUAUCAGGAGGAACACCGGUGGCGAAGGCGGUUCUCUGGGAAUUACCUGACGCUGAGGAGCGAAAGCAUGGGGAGCGAACAGG
rnacentral:rRNA from 1 species